rnacentral:rRNA from 1 species
GAUCUUUAUUUUUAUUUAUUAUAAAUAAAAAAGUAUAUAAAUUUUUAUAUUAAUAAUAAAAUUUUACUGGGGUGGUAUUAAAAUUUAAUAAACUUUUAAAUAUAGUUAACAUUAAUAUAUGAAUAAUUGAUCCAGUUUUAUUGAUUAAAAAUUUAAGUUACCUUAGGGAUAACAGCGUAAUUUUUUUUUAGAGUUCAUAUCGACAAAAAAGAUUGC